AAAGAGUAUUAUUGUCUUAAUACCUCCUUUCUGUGCCCUAAAGAUCCAUUUACUCUACUGGAUCAGAAAUCGGAGCCCGCCAUCUUUAUUCGCAUAUUCUUCCCCCUUAACGUCUCUCCUACUCCUAUCUAGGGUUAGGGUUAGGGUUAGGGUUUGGUUUCUAAAAUUUUCUUCUCCUUUGGUCAAGUUCUCGAUUUUAGUUUCACUGAAUUUAGUACUUGUAAUUGUGAAAGUAAAUUGAGGGGAAUUUGAGAUUCCCAUAGCAAUGGGAGUUCCAGCAUUUUACCGAUGGUUAGCUGAGAAGUAUCAAAUGGUUAUUGUGGAUGUGAUAGAAGAAGAUGCCGUUGUUAUUGAAGGCGUGAAAAUUCCAGUGGAUACGAGUAAACCUAAUCCUAACAAAAUUGAAUAUGAUAAUCUGUACCUUGAUAUGAAUGGUAUCAUCCAUCCAUGUUUUCACCCUGAAGACAGACCAUCUCCAACGACAUUUGAGGAGGUCUUUCAGUGCAUGUUUGACUACAUAGACAGGCUUUUCUCUAUGGUGCGUCCUCGAAAGCUGCUAUAUAUGGCUAUUGAUGGUGUUGCACCUAGGGCAAAAAUGAAUCAGCAGAGAUCUAGACGUUUUAGAGCAGCAAAAGAUGCAGCAGAUGCGGCAGCCGAGGAGGCAAAGCUGCGGGAGGAAUUCGAGAGAGAGGGCAGGAAACUUCCCCCUAAACAAGAAUCACAAGUUUUUGAUUCAAAUGUUAUCACUCCUGGGACUCCAUUCAUGGGCACAUUAUCAAUCGCUCUUCAGUACUACAUUCAUCUUAGACUAAACCAUGAUCCAGGAUGGAAAAACGUUAAGGUUAUACUGUCUGAUGCAAAUGUUCCUGGUGAGGGGGAGCAUAAAAUUAUGUCCUAUAUUCGCCUUCAAAGAAAUCUUCCUGGUUAUGACCCAAAUACACGCCAUUGUCUUUAUGGUUUGGAUGCAGAUCUAAUCAUGUUGGGUUUGGCUACUCAUGAAGUUCACUUCUCGAUACUCAGAGAGGUUGUAUUUACUCCAGGUCAGCAGGAUAAGUGUUUCCUUUGUGGUCAAAUGGGUCAUUUAGCUGCAGAUUGCGAAGGAAAGGCAAAACGAAAAGCAGGAGAAUUUGAUGAGAAAGGCGAUGCUGAGGUUGUGGCAAAAAAACCUUUCCAGUUCCUCAACAUAUGGACUUUGCGGGAGUAUUUAGAAUAUGAUAUGAGAAUUCCGAAUCCUCCAUUUGAGAUUGAUCUUGAGCGGAUCAUUGAUGACUUCAUAUUUAUUUGUUUCUUUGUUGGCAAUGAUUUUCUCCCACAUAUGCCUACACUUGAGAUCCGUGAGGGUGCAAUAAACUUGUUGCUGGCUGUUUAUAAGAAGGAGUUUAAGUCUAUGGGGGGUAUCUAACCGAUGGUAGCCAGCCAAAUCUUAGCAGGGUGGAGCAUUUUAUUCAGGCUGUGGGAUCGUAUGAAGAUAAGAUAUUCCAGAAAAGAGCUCGCUUACAUCAGAGACAAUCUGAGAGAAUCAAGCGUGAAAAGGCACAGUCAAAAAGAGGAGAUGACUCCGCUCCUCAAGCUGAACCUGAAUCUUUGGUUCCAGUUGCUCGGUUUGGUGGUUCGCGGCUUGCUUCAGGUCCUUCGCCUUCUCCCUAUCAACCGGGGGGAACUUCAAGACGUGACCAACUUCGGCAUGGCACAUCAAGUCUUUCCAUCCUUGACAUUCAGAGCGAGCACUCUGGGACUGUUGAUGAAAAAGGAUCUGUUGUUAGUGCCAAAAAAGUUGCACGUUUGAGUUCUGGGGCCACGAUAGGAGCUGCAAUUGUUGAAGCUGAGAAUAGCCUUGAAAUAGAAGUAUUAGAAAACAAAGAAGACCUGAAAACAAAACUAAACAAGUUGAUCCGUGAGAAGAAUGACGUUUUUAAUUCAGAGCAUCCUGAGGAAGACAAGAUCAAACUGGGAGUGCCAGGGUGGAAGGAAAGGUAUUAUGAGGAAAAAUUUUCUGCGAAGACACCUGAGGAGAUGGAAGAAGUACGGAAGGACGUUGUCUUGAAAUACACAGAAGGGCUGUGCUGGGUUAUGCACUAUUAUUAUGAAGGCGUUUGUUCCUGGCAAUGGUUUUAUCCUUAUCAUUAUGCUCCUUUUGCUUCUGACCUCAAGGAUCUUGGGGAGUUGAAUAUCACCUUUGAACUAGGUUCUCCAUUCAAACCAUUCAAUCAGCUGUUAGGAGUUUUUCCUGCUGCCAGUGCACAUGCUCUUCCUGUACAGUACAGGCAAUUGAUGACAGACCCAAACUCGCCCAUUAUUGAUUUCUAUCCUACUGAUUUUGAGGUGGACAUGAAUGGGAAGCGCUUUUCAUGGCAGGGUAUUGCCAAGCUACCUUUCAUUGAUGAAGUCCGGCUCCUUGCAGAGGUUGCAAAAGUCGAACAUACCUUGACGGAGGAAGAAGCACGAAGAAAUAGUGUGAUGAAUGAUAUGCUUUUUGUAUCAUUAUCUCACCCUUUAUCUCCAUACAUUUUUUCUCUUGAUGAUCGUUGUAAGCAGCUUACAGACUAUGAACGUGUUGAAGUCAAGGAGCGCUUGGACCCAAAAUCAAGUGGUGGGAUGAAUGGCUAUAUAUCCCUUUGCAUGGGAGAUCCUUGUCCUCCAAUAUUUAGAUCACCUAUUGAUGGGCUGGAAGAUAUUAUGGACAAUCAAGUCAUAUGUGCAAUAUACAGACUCCCGGAUCCCCAUAAGCAUAUCACACGGCCACCUAAAGGGGUUAUUUUCCCAAAGAAGUUGGUCACAUUUGGUGAUAUAAAACCUGAUCCCGUGUUGUGGCAUGAGGAUUCUGGGAGGAAACCUUGGGAAAAUGGAAGGAACCAACACCCUGGCGGAAACUCUGGUCGUCACGUUGGAGAGGCAGCACACAGGCUGGUGGCUAAUAGUUUGCAGAUGAGGAGCGGUCAUGGUGAUUAUGCACGUGCUCAACCUGCAGCAUAUCCUGCUACACAUGGUCCUUUUCCUUCCUCUCACAGAUACAAUGGUCAGGAACAUGUUCGGGCUAGUUUUGGGUAUUCCGCUCGAGAUGACACAGCUGCGCCGUAUCACUAUGAUCAUAGUUAUAACCAAUCUUAUGUCCCAGCUGCUGUUGAUCCUUAUAGUAGGCCGCCUCCUCUGUAUGAGAGGGGUGGCCGACCUGUCCCUCCCAGCGGGGAUUAUCAUAGACAUGGACAUCACAGUGCUGUGGUGACGCAAAAUGUUGGAUAUGGUUAUUCCUCUCAUGCCACUCGUGCGCAGUAUGUCAGCCAAACACCAAUACCACCCGUUGCUCAUUUUCACCAGCAGCAGAGUGGAUAUGACAAUUACACGAGUUAUCAACCUUAUGUGGCAGGAAGCUAUAACCAACUGGGUGGUGGAUGGACCCCUCAAGGUAGCCAAAAUGUUGCUCGAGGGUAUAGUAAUCCACGUCCUUCCAGUAAUCACUUCUCGGCGUUGGGAAGAGGAAGAGAUAGAAGGCCCCCAUCUUCAGGCCAUAACCGUUAAAGGUGUCAUCAUCUUAGCUAAGUCGACACAGGACAGAAAAGUCACUGCUGCAAAGAAGGGAGAAACUUGCAAGUAAUGGGUAAUUUUCAGACAAUAUACUUUGGGAAGCAUGUAGAUGAACAAGAAAAAGAAAAUGCAGUUAGAGAACAAACAGAUGUUGCUUGUCAAUGUGUAAGUUCAGGCGACUUUCUGGUGCUUGUCAUCAUGGUAUUGUUGUACAAUAUAGAUCUCUAGCACAGAACUUUACUGGUAUUCUUCUCUUCCUUCCAAUAUUAGAUGUAGUUGAGCUUCAUUUAUUUGAAAAAUUACAUUGUAUUCCAUAAAGGUAAAUGUUAGAUGAAUAAAGGUGAUGUAAUUUUCUCAUGAACUUUGAGCUUUAUUUGUAUUGUCCUUUCUAUUU